GGAUUGUUAGCAAAAAAAUAUAGAUUGGGUGAAAUACCUAUUUAAUAAUAGUUUUACACUCACCUGUCAAUCAACUCUUCGGUAUAGACUCCUGUGCUCAUGAACUCCGUAAUGGAAACAUCCUGCUCUCCAAUAAGAGAAAACACAGCGCAUGAGCUUUGGUUGCUAAGUAUCCUCCCUAGUCAUUGUUGCUAGCGCUAGUUAGGAAUUGUAGGAUCAGAGGCCAGCAUGCUGACAAUGAAGCCAGUGUGUUGGAGUCAUGGUGAAGGCAAGUGGUGGUAUGCCACAAUGGCUAGGGGCCAAG